AAGGUAGCUUGCUACUGGACCUAGCGGCGGACGGGUGAGUAAUGCUUAGGAAUCUGCCUAUUAGUGGGGGACAACAUUCCGAAAGGAAUGCUAAUACCGCAUACGCCCUACGGGGGAAAGCAGGGGAUCUUCGGACCUUGCGCUAAUAGAUGAGCCUAAGUCGGAUUAGCUAGUUGGUGGGGUAAAGGCCUACCAAGGCGACGAUCUGUAGCGGGUCUGAGAGGAUGAUCCGCCACACUGGGACUGAGACACGGCCCAGACUCCUACGGGAGGCAGCAGUGGGGAAUAUUGGACAAUGGGCGGAAGCCUGAUCCAGCCAUGCCGCGUGUGUGAAGAAGGCCUUUUGGUUGUAAAGCACUUUAAGCGAGGAGGAGGCUCCUUUAGUUAAUACCUAAAGUGAGUGGACGUUACUCGCAGAAUAAGCACCGGCUAACUCUGUGCCAGCAGCCGCGGUAAUACAGAGGGUGCGAGCGUUAAUCGGAUUUACUGGGCGUAAAGCGUGCGUAGGCGGCUUUUUAAGUCGGAUGUGAAAUCCCUGAGCUUAACUUAGGAAUUGCAUUCGAUACUGGAAAGCUAGAGUAUGGGAGAGGAUGGUAGAAUUCCAGGUGUAGCGGUGAAAUGCGUAGAGAUCUGGAGGAAUACCGAUGGCGAAGGCAGCCAUCUGGGCCUAAUACUGACGCUGAGGUACGAAAGCAUGGGGAGCAAACAGGAUUAGAUACCCUGGUAGUCCAUGCCGUAAACGAUGUCUACUAGCCGUUGGGGCCUUUGAGGCUUUAGUGGCGCAGCU
rnacentral:rRNA from 1 species